rnacentral:rRNA from 1 species
UCUUGGUCAUUUAGAGGAAGUAAAAGUCGUAACAAGGUCUCCGUUGGUGAACCAGCGGAGGGAUCAUUAUCGAGUUAUUCAACUCCCAAACCCUAUGUGAACUUACCACUUGUUGCUUCGGCGCGCGCUUCGGCGCCGCCGAGGACACUUAAACUCUUUGUUUUUAUAAGCAUUUCUGAGUGGCCGAAAGGCAAAAAUACAAAUGAAUCAAAACUUUCAACAACGGAUCUCUUGGUUCUGGCAUCGAUGAAGAACGCAGCGAAAUGCGAUAAGUAAUGUGAAUUGCAGAAUUCAGUGAAUCAUCGAAUCUUUGAACGCACAUUGCGCCCGCCAGCAUUCUGGCGGGCAUGCCUGUUCGAGCGUCAUUUCAACCCUCGAGCCCGACUCUUUUGAGGACGGCUCGGCGUUGGGGGACGGCAGACUCCCCCCGGCAUCUCGCCGGGGACGCCGCCCCCGAAAUCUAGUGGCGGCCCUCCGAGGCGACCUCUGCGUAGUAACUUGUUCUCGCACCGGAAAGCUCAGAGCGGCCACGCCGUAAAACCCCAACUUUUUUCAGGUUGACCUCGAAUCAGGUAGGACU